ACCCGCAACAAGCAGCGGAGCGUGUGGUUUAAUUCGUUGCUACACGAAGAACCUUACCUGGGUUUGACAUAUAGGUUGUAGGGAACUGAAAGGGACCGACCCGUUCGGGGAGCCUAUACAGGUGUUGCAUGGCUGUCGUCAGCUCGUGUCGUGAGAUGUUCGGUUAAGUCCGCUAACGAGCGCAACCCUCGUCGUAUGUUAUAUGUGUCAUACGAGACUGCCGGUAAAAAGCCGGAGGAAGGUGAGGAUGAUGUCAAGUCAGCAUGACCUUUAUAUCCAGGGCUACACACACGCUACAAUGGUCUGUACAAUGGGUAGCCAAGCCGCGAGGCGGAGCCAAUCCUGAAAGCAGGCCUCAGUUCAGAUUGCAGUCUGCAACUCGACUGCAUGAAGCCGGAGUUGCUAGUAACCGCAGGUCAGCAAUACUGCGGUGAAUACGUUCCCGGGUCUU
rnacentral:rRNA from 1 species